rnacentral:rRNA from 1 species
UACAGAGGGGGCAAGCGUUGUUCGGAAUUACUGGGCGUAAAGGGCGCGUAGGCGGCCUGUUAAGUCGGGUGUGAAAUCCCUCGGCUCAACCGAGGAAGUGCAUUCGAAACUAGCAGGCUUGAAUGUGGAAGAGGGUCGUGGAAUUCCACGUGUAGCAGUGAAAUGCGUAGAUAUGUGGAGGAACACCGAUGGCGAAGGCAGCCCCCUGGGUCAAAACUGACGCUCAUGCACGAAAGCGUGGGGAGCAAACAGG